AGAAGACCAGGAAAAGAUAAGGACAAAGAAUGUCAUAUAUCUUAGGAGCUAGAUCACUUCCCGAUGAACAAGUCAGAAUUGCAUCAACAAAAAUGGAUGGAAUUGGACGAAAAAAGCCAUUCAGCUUCGUUAUCGAUUAGGUAUCAGUGGGAACAUAAAGAAUCCAAAUGA
rnacentral:rRNA from 1 species